AAUAACUCCUGUCAGCAGCAAGGUCCUGACUGAAGUGGCAGCUGCAGUUGUUCCUGUGGUGUGGGCCAGUGGAAUUCCAAGAAAAUGGACAAGGACAGAAGCUGUAAGAAUUACCCCUAAGCCAGAGUCUCUCCUGGCAGAAGAGCCCAGGCCUGAGCUGGCUGAGUGUUGGUGUGAGCCAGAGUGGGUGUCCCUGCCCUGGGGCCAGUCCCCAGAGCUGCCUUUGGCAUCCCCUGCUGAAGGGUGGGAGCUGCCCAGAGCCAGCAGCAUCCAGCUGGAGGAUCCAGGAGGAUGCAGCUCUGCUUUGCUGGGAGCUUGUCCAGGAGAUGGAAUUCCAGUGCUACAGUCUGGGUGGGUCAUGGUGCUCCCAAAAGGAGCCUUUGUGCCUUCAGGACAAGUUUUGGUGCCACUGGAGCUGCUGGGAGAAGCAUAGGGUUGGCAGUGAGAGGCCUGGAAUGAUGUUGGUGUGGUACAGAAGAAAUGAGCAGUGA